rnacentral:rRNA from 1 species
UGGCUAACUCCGUGCCAGCAGCCGCGGUAAUACGGAGAGGGCUAGCGUUAUUCGGAAUCAUUGGGCGUAAAGGGCGCGUAGGCUGAUUAGUAAGUUAAAAGUGAAAUCCCAAGGCUCAACCUUGGAAUUGCUUUUAAAACUGCUAAUCUAGAGAUUGAAAGAGGAUAGAGGAAUUCCUAGUGUAGAGGUGAAAUUCGUAAAUAUUAGGAGGAACACCAGUGGCGAAGGCGUCUAUCUGGUUCAAAUCUGACGCUGAGGCGCGAAGGCGUGGGGAGCAAACAGGAUUAGAUACCCUGGUAGUCCAC